UACGUAGGUGGCAAGCGUUGUCCGGAUUUAUUGGGCUUAAAGGGUGCGUAGGCGGUUCCAUAAGUCAGUGGUGAAAUACCAUAGCUUAACUAUUGAGGUGCCAUUGAUACUGCGGAACUUGAGUACAGACGAGGUAGGCGGAAUUGACGGUGUAGCGGUGAAAUGCGUAGAGAUCGUGAAGAACACCGAUAGCGAAGGCAGCUUACUGGACUGUAACUGACGCUGAUGCGCGAAAGUGUGGGGAUCAAACAGG
rnacentral:rRNA from 1 species